UACGUAGGGUCCGAGCGUUGUCCGGAAUUAUUGGGCGUAAAGGGCUCGUAGGCGGUCUGUCGCGUCGGCUGUGAAAACUUGGGGCUCAACCCCAAGCCUGCAGUCGAUACGGGCAGACUAGAGUGCGGUAGGGGAGACUGGAAUUCCUGGUGUAGCGGUGAAAUGCGCAGAUAUCAGGAGGAACACCGGUGGCGAAGGCGGGUCACUGGACCAUUACUGACGCUGAGGCACGAAAGCUAGGGGAGCAAACAGG
rnacentral:rRNA from 1 species